AGCUAUUCUAAAAACAAUGCUACCAACCGUAAUUUUCCAACACUUUUAAAAUAUAAUAUUAUACACACUCGUGUCCUAAGACGGGAAAACAUCGACAAGUUAUCGUUUUCCUUGCACUAAGAGCGGCUAAAUAAUCUCACGACUACCUAAGACGUCGCGGAAACUUAAAACACAAAAAAAAAAUUUGAUUAAAAAAUUGCAAUGGCAAAGCAACAUGUGAAAGGAAAAAAGCACAAAUAUUUCCGUUAGCUUGCUGAUCAACUAGUAAAUUCUCUGGGCACUACGUGGGAGAGCGCGCAACAGGGCGAAGGAAACCAUCGGAAACGUAGAACAGUUUUCGGGUUACACAUAUAAUAAUCGUAAUUUUUAUAAUCGUAAUAUAUAAUAACAUUAUAUAUCUAUUUGAAGCUCUCAGCUACAACCAACAAACAAUGCCACCCACAUUUAUGACAGCUACGACAGCAACCCGAAUCGCGCCUGCAUCCUUAGCGAUCUAGCCUAGGACCGCGCACAGGACAAUCCAAAUUUUUGAUUCUGACUUCGGGAACGACCAGUUAUCCCGCAAGUAGUGGAGGAGGCCGGCUCUAAGUCAGGGGUGCCCAGUCCUAUUGCUCUCGAUCCUACGUUGGAUAUCACUUCCAUAUGGGAAAAGCAAAAUCAUAUACGUGUACUGCUCCCAGCAUAGGCAGAGACAAAUUACAAGAACAAUUUUGCAUAGUUUUCCUAUUGAAUGAGGAAUUUGCUGCCUCUGUCGCCGAACUGAGCAACAACACUUGGAUAGUCUCAAUGUUUUUCGGGCUAAUGCGAAGUCAUUUUGUUGCUGGAUUGCCGAAAACCUUUUACUGCAAGAAAUCACUGAAAUCACUCAUGUGUAGCUAGUUUACAUAUUGCUAAGAAGCUAAAAUCAUUUUUACAUAAUAAGUUUAUUAAAACCGUUUGGUAAAAUAA